AGUGAACGCUGGCGGUAGGCCUAACACAUGCAAGUCGAACGGCAGCACAGUAGAAGCUUCCUUUUACGGGUGGCGAUUGCCGGACGGUUGGGGAUUCAUUCGGAAUCUAUUUUUUCGUGGGGGUUAACGUAGGGAAAUUACGCCUAUUACCGCAUCCGCCUUCCGGUUGAAAGCAGGGGAUUUUCGACCCUUCCGCGAUUGAUUAACCCGAUGUCGGUUUAGCUAGUUGGCGGGGUAAAGGCCCACCAAGGCGACGAUCCGUAGCUGGUCUGAGAGGAUGAUCAGCCACACUGGAACUGAGACACGGUCCAGACUCCUACGGGAGGCAGCAGUGGGGAAUAUUGGACAAUGGGCGCAAGCCUGAUCCAGCCAUACCGCGUGGGUGAAGAAGGCCUUCGGGUUGUAAAGCCCUUUUGUUGGGAAAGAAAAGCAGCAGGUUAAUACCCCGCUGUUCUGACGGUACCCAAAGAAUAAGCACCGGCUAACUUCGUG
rnacentral:rRNA from 1 species